UUAUUAUUACAUCACUAAUCAUUGAAGAAAAAAAUCACAAAGUUAACUAACCCCCAACUAAUUCGUUAGAGACUUAGUUCUUCCUUCAAAGUAGAACAAACAGAACCAUAUUCAACUAAUUCUUCCCAAAAAAUAAAAAACCCCAACUAAUUUUUCCCUCAAAAUCGAACAAACAAAACCAAAUUGCCCCUAUGUUAUUCCAACUCUCAUAAUUUCGCUCACCUAUUCCUAAUAGAUUAACCCCUAAAUAGCAUCAAAUUUGAUUUUGAUUUCGAUUAAAUUAAUACUCCGUAUCAACUUUUAAUUUGUUGGUGUAGAUUGAAGAGAGUAAAGAAUCAAAUAUAGAUAGUUUGUUGCCAUCUUCUAAUAAUAUCUUGGUGCAACCUGAAAAUAGCAGCGGGUAGAUCGAGGAAGAAACAAAGACAAUUCUAAGGCAGUCUGAUGCUGUAGGAAAUAUUGCUUGAGUAACUACCUUGAACCUGUCUACCCCCGAGCUGCAAUGUGCUUGAUGAUACACGCUAUAAAGAAGCUCCACAAGGCACUUUUUGAAGGUCUAGCAACAUUUUUCAAACCUUAUGGUCUGAAAUUGAUCUUGCUUUCCUAUCCUCACAAUGCUGACCAGACGAUUGAGUAGCUUGAAUUACUAGACCGCUUGAAAGUUUUAUGGCGGGUUCUCUGCGAUCUCAUUGUAUUCAUAAUGACUUGUAUCAUCUAAACUUAUGCUUAGGAGGAUUCUCAAGAAACUCAUGAGUAGCUGAAGGUCUCAACUAAAGACACCGAUAUGGCAAUCAUGCUAUUGAACUGUGUGCCCGUCUAUGCAAUGAUACCGCAAUUCAGUAAGCCUGCAUUAAACAACAAUUCAGUAAGCCUGCAUUAAUCAGCAUUCAGCACAAGCAUUUCCUUAAUUAAGUCACAUAAAAAAUUAUUGCAUAUGAGAAAUUUGAAGUUUAGGAAAUACGGCUCCUUAAUCAAGGCCAUUUACAGAUUCACUACGGCCAAAAUUAUGGUACAUAGCAUAUAAUGAUAUACACCAGAAGUGCUUAAGUCAGAUAAAAGGCGAAGCAUUUCAAACAUGCCAGAACACUAUAUGGAUGUAUGAGUAGGCUUAACACUAUACCACAACAUUCUUAUGGGGAGGGAGAACCUUAAAUACAUGAAUUGUUAUCUCCUCCCACAACCCCCAAAAUAAGAAAGUCGGUUCCCGUUUGUAGGGAGGCGAUCAUUUUGUACUUCUUAAAGUUCUUGUUAGUUUGGCACAAGGUUGUAAAUUGAUUGAAAUUGAUUUGUUUAUGAACGUGGACGUCCAUGAGAAGGCUCAUCUUGAACUAUAAUUUAUGAACAUAGACUUGUUAUUGCAA